CCUACGGGUGGCAGCAGUGAGGAAUAUUGGUCAAUGGACGAGAGUCUGAACCAGCCAAGCCGCGUGAAGGAUGAAUGCUCUAUGGGUUGUAACCUUCUUUUAUAAAGGAAUAAAACGAGGCACGCGUGCCUGUUUGCAUGUACCUGAUGAAUAACGAUCGGCUAACUCCGUACCAGCAGCCGCGGUAAUACGGAGGAUCCGAGCGUUAUCCGGAUUUAUUGGGUUUAAAGGGAGCGUAGAUGGGUUGUUAAGUCAGUGGUGAAAGGCUGCGGCUCAACCGUAAAAUUGCAGUUGAUACUGGCAGUCUUGAGUACAGGAGAGGUAGGCGGAAUUCGUGGUGUAGCGGUGAAAUGCUUAGAUAUCACGAAGAACACCGAUUGCGAAGGCAGCUUGCUGGACUGUCACUGACGGUGAGGCUCGAAAGUGUGGGUAUCAAACAGGAUUAGAUACCCUAGUAGUC
rnacentral:rRNA from 1 species